GACGAACGCUGGCGGCGUGCUUAACACAUGCAAGUCGAACGGAAAGGCCCUGCUUUUGUGGGGUGCUCGAGUGGCGAACGGGUGAGUAACACGUGAGUAACCUGCCCUUGACUUUGGGAUAACUUCAGGAAACUGGGGCUAAUACCGUAUAGGAGCUCCUGCUGCAUGGUGGGGGUUGGAAAGUUUCGGCGGUUGGGGAUGGACUCGCGGCUUAUCAGCUUGUUGGUGGGGUAGUGGCUUACCAAGGCUUUGACGGGUAGCCGGCCUGGGAGGGUGACCGGCCACAUUGGGACUGAGAUACGGCCCAGACUCCUACGGGAGGCAGCAGUGGGGAAUAUUGCACAAUGGGCGGAAGCCUGAUGCAGCAACGCCGCGUGCGGGAUGACGGCCUUCGGGUUGUAAAACGCUUUCGCCUGUGACGAAGCGUGAGUGACGGUAAUGGGUAAAGAAGCACCGGCUAACUACGUG
rnacentral:rRNA from 1 species